rnacentral:rRNA from 1 species
UAGUGAACUAGUACCGUGAGGGAAAGGCGAAAAGAACCUCGUUAAGAGGAGUGAAAUAGAACCUGAAACCUUACGCUUAUAAGCAGUUGGAGUUCUACUGGCUGUAAAGUCAAGAGUGACAGCGUGCCUUUUGCAUAAUGAGCCAACGAGUUAUUUUUAGUGGCAAGGUUAAGUCAAAGACGUAGCCGGAGCGAAAGCAAGUCUUAAUAGGGCGUUAAGUCGCUAGGAAUAGACCCGAAACCGGGUGAUCU